GGAGAGAUGGGUGAGUGGCUGAAACCACCGGCUUGCUAAGCCGACGUGCGAGCAAUCGUACCGAGGGUUCGAAUCCCUCUCUCUCCG
rnacentral:tRNA from 1 species